rnacentral:rRNA from 1 species
AUAGAUAGAUUCGCCCUAUUUGUGGUUUCUAGGACUGAAGUAAUGAUUAAUAGGACGGUGGGGCUUCGUAUUUAACUGUCAGAGGUGAAAUUCUUAGAUUUGUUAAAGACGACUACUGCGAAAGCAUUUGCCAAAGAUGUUUUCAUUAAUCAAGAACGAAAGUUAGGGGCUCGAAGACGAUCGAUACCGUCGUAGUCUUAACCAUAAACUAUGCCGACUAGAGAUAGGAAAACGUCAUGCUUGACUUCUCCCCCUUAUGAGAAAUCAAGUCUUUGGG